rnacentral:rRNA from 1 species
AACCUUUACACUGCACGACAGUGCGAUAAGGGAAUCCCAAGUGCGUAGGCAUAGAGCCUACGCUUUUGUCCACCGUAGGGAGGUGGACGAAUAAGGGCUGGGCAAGACCGGCGCCAGCCGCCGCGGUAAUACCGGCAGCCCGAGUGAUGGCCGAUCUUAUUGGGCUUAAAGCGUCCGUAGCUGGCCGCACAAGUCCAUCGGAAAAUCCACCCGCUCAACGGGUGGGCGUCCGGUGGAAACUGUGUGGCUUGGGACCGGAAGGCGCGACGGGUACGUCCGGGGUAGGAGUGAAAUCCCGUAAUCCUGGACGGACCGCCGAUGGCGAAAGCACGUCGCGAGAACGGAUCCGACAGUGAGGGACGAAAGCUAGGGUCUCGAACCGGAUUAGAUACCCGGGUAGUCCUAGCCGUAAACAAUGCCUGCUAGGUGUGGCUCCCACUACGAGUGGGUGCUGUGCCGUAGGGAAGCCGCUAAGCAGGCCGCCUGGGAAGUACGUCCGCAAGGAUGAAACUUAA